CCAGAUUUCCGGGACGAGGGUGGGGAGCAAGGCUGAAGGCAGGGAGGCAGUGAAGUGGCCUUGAACCUCAACAGUCCAGCUAUGGGGGAGAGACGGAGGCAGUUACACUUUGUCUGGUUGCCAAGAGGAGAGAGAGGAUUGAAGAGAUCAAGAGAAAUUUAGGAGGUGAGGGUCACAAGAACAUAAGCUCUCUCCUGCACCCUACUCUCCAUCUAAGAACCUGCAAUCCAGAAACUCAACCUACAGCCACACUUCAGCCACUUACCAUGUUGUUACAAUUAUUGGUUCGCUGCCUGUCACUCAAUGGACGGGGUUUGCUUCUGAUGUAUUUCUGUAUUCUCAGGAUCUAGUCAAUAUCUGGCACUUAUGAACACCGAGCAAAUGCUUAUUGAAUAAAUUCAUUAAAACU